rnacentral:misc_RNA from 1 species
UAAUAGAGUGUUUUAUGGCACUCUAAAAAAAAAUCCAUAUCCACCUUGUGUGAAAUGUUAAAAAUUCCUCUUUGUCUUAAUCGAUAAAAAGGUCUUUUUUUUAUAUAUCAACUCUUUUUAUAUUUUUAUUUAUCUAUUGUCUGUAAAACGUUAUGAAUUUACUUAAUUCAAAACA